AGUCGGCCAGGCAGUCGCUGUCCCGCGAACCCAGGUUGGCGGGGUGGAGGAAAGUCCGGGCUCCAAAGGGCAAGACGCCAGGUAACACCUGGGGGGCGUGAGCCUACGGAAAGUGCAACAGAAAAGAUACCGCCGAUGGCCUUCGGGAUCAGGCAAGGUUGAAAUGGUGCGGUAAGAGCGCACCGCGCGGAUGGUAACAUGCGUGGCAAGGUAAACCCCGUCUGGAGCAAGAUCAAAUAGGGGGGCAUGGAUCCCAAGGGAUCUGAAAAUGUGGCCCACAUUGUCCCCGGGUAGAUCGCAUGAGGUAUGCAGUGAUGUGUAUCCCAGAUGAAUGACUGUCUACGACAGAACCCGGCUUAUCGGCCGACUUC
rnacentral:RNase_P_RNA from 1 species